AUUGCAGAUACUGAGUGACACACCCUCGACCUCCAGAGCCAGCAUGCCAUAUACAAAGCCAUGCGGCAUUGCUCUAUGCUUACCCCGGAGAUCUGAGUCACCUAUUAACAGCACAGCUAAAACAGGAAUCCAUAUUGAAAUCUCUAAGCAAUUUUCAACAACACCGCAUUGCUUGAGCGUGCUACUUGAGAAGCUUGAUACUAUAUGCGACAAAAUAAUACAUUAUUUCAACAAAUGAAAUGAUCAUAUAUUUAUAAACAUUUACAAAAAAACAUUAUAAACUUUUUAUUAUUC